rnacentral:rRNA from 1 species
UACGUAGGGGGCGAGCGUUGUCCGGAUUCAUUGGGCGUAAAGAGCUUGUAGGCGGCUUGGUAAGUCGGGUGUGAAACCUCCAGGCUCAACCUGGAGACGCCACUCGAUACUGCCAUGGCUAGAGUCCGGUAGGAGCCCACGGAAUUCCUGGUGUAGCGGUGAAAUGCGCAGAUAUCAGGAAGAACACCCGUGGCUAAGGCGGCUCUCUAGUACGGUACUGACGCUGAGACGCGAAAGCGUGGGGAGCGAACAGG